rnacentral:rRNA from 1 species
GAUGAACGCUAGCGACAGGCCUAACACAUGCAAGUCGAGGGGCAGCACAUGAGUAGCAAUACGAUGGUGGCGACCGGCGCACGGGUGAGUAUCGCGUAUGCAACCUACCUUCCACAGGGGGAUAGCCUUCCGAAAGGGAGAUUAAUACCGCAUAAAACAGGGGCCCCGCAUGGGGAUAUUUGUUAAAGAUUUAUCGGUGGGAGAUGGGCAUGCGUUCCAUUAGCUAGUUGGCGGGGUAAUGGCCCACCAAGGCAUCGAUGGAUAGGGGAACUGAGAGGUUUAUCCCCCACACUGGAACUGAGACACGGUCCAGACUCCUACGGGAGGCAGCAGUGAGGAAUAUUGGUCAAUGGGCGGGAGCCUGAACCAGCCAAGUCGCGUGAAGGAAGACGGUUCUAUGGAUUGUAAACUUCUUUUGCACUGGGGUAAAACGGGGGACGUGUCCCCCCUUGCAAGUACAGUGCGAAUAAGCAUCGGCUAACUCCGUGCCAGCAGCCGCGGUAACAC